CGAUUUAGCCAUGCUAGUUGCGCGAGUUCAGACUCGCAGCAGAUAGCUCAGUAACACGUGGUCAAGCUACCCUGCAGACACGGACAACCUCGGGAAACUGAGGCUAAUCCGCGAUACCGAUCCCACGCUGGAAUGCCGGGAUCCACAAACGCUCCGGCGCUGCAGGAUGCGGCUGCGGCCGAUUAGGUAGACGGUGGGGUAACGGCCCACCGUGCCGAUAAUCGGUACGGGUUGUGAGAGCAAGAGCCCGGAGACGGAAUCUGAGACAAGAUUCCGGGCCCUACGGGGUGCAGCAGGCGCGAAACCUUUACACUGCACGCAAGUGCGAUAAGGGGACUCCGAGUGCGAGGGCAUAUAGUCCUCGCUUUUGAGAACCGUAAGGUGGUUCUCGAAUAAGAGCUGGGCAAGACCGGUGCCAGCCGCCGCGGUAAUACCGGCAGCUCAAGUGAUGGCCAAUCUUAUUGGGCCUAAAGCGUCCGUAGCUGGCCGUGAAAGUUCGUCGGGAAAUCCAUCCGCUCAACGGAUGGGCGUCCGGCGAAAACUUCACGGCUUGGGACCGGAAGGCUCGAGGGGUACGUCCGGGGUAGGAGUGAAAUCCUGUAAUCCUGGACGGACCGCCGAUGGCGAAAGCACCUCGAGAAGACGGAUCCGACAGUGAGGGACGAAAGCUAGGGUCUCGAACCGGAUUAGAUACCCGGGUAGUCCUAGCCGUAAACGAUGUUCACUAGGUGUGGCACAGGCUACGAGCCUGUGCUGUGCCGUAGGGAAGCCGAGAAGUGAACCGCCUGGGAAGUACGUCCGCAAGGAUGAAACUUAAAGGAAUUGGCGGGGGAGCACUACAACCGGAGGAGCCUGCGGUUUAAUUGGACUCAACGCCGGACAUCUCACCAGCUCCGACUACAGUAAUGACGGUCAGGUUGAUGACCUUACCACGAGCUGUAGAGAGGAGGUGCAUGGUCGCCGUCAGCUCGUACCGUGAGGCGUCCUGUUAAGUCAGGCAACGAGCGAGACCCACGCACCUAAUUGCCAGCAGCAGUUCCGACUGGC
rnacentral:rRNA from 1 species